CAAACCCUCAAGCUUCUGCUUGGUGUUGGGCUCUCGUCCGUCAAAGGACGUGCCCGAAACUCGUAGGCGGUGGCGCCCAGCUCCUUUGCGUAGUUAUACAUUCCGCUCUGGAGGGUUGGGUACUGCUCGCCUUGCAAUUAUUUAUUUUCUAUG
rnacentral:misc_RNA from 1 species